CCCCUUCCCCAAACUCAUCUUAAAAAGGAGCUGGCAACGAGUCUGCAUAAAAGCCAUAACUGAUAUGGGAGAAAAAUUCUGGCCAAAAUACAGGUGGGGCAUAACUUGAGGCCAACUUCCUGAUACCAACCCUUAAGGACCAUAUGACUGUACUAUUUGACACCCUGUUGAUCAAGACCAAGUUAUCCCUAGAGUUCAUAAAGUCAACUUGUUCGAGAUAAGUGCCACAAGAAAACAAAGAAAAUAAAUGUCACAUGUGCAUAUGUCCA
rnacentral:lncRNA from 1 species